rnacentral:tRNA from 1 species
UGAGAUAGCUCAGUUGGUAGAGCAAUAGUCGACUUAGGAGAGUCGUGGGUUCGAUUCCCAUCUUCAU